rnacentral:lncRNA from 12 species
AACUCCAUUUGAGUUUGUUUCUGUUUUGUGGUUUGUCCCAGACAGGGUAAGAAGUUGCUCUUCACAGAGUUCCUCCUUUGGCUCCUGUGGUGUAAAGCUACAUGUACCUCCUGCUACAUGGAAAAAUUGCAACAGAAUUAAAAUUCAAAAAGCCUGGAUUUAUUUGAAGUAACACCAACAGAGAUCUGGGAUGAUUCCAUUAACAGCACUGCAGUCAUGCUGUUUCCAAAAGGAUAUCUAAAGAACUGUAUCCAAGGAGGAUGUCACACUUUUCUGUUCUCAAGUUCAACUUUAUCUCUGAGAGCAUCAGCAAGUUUCACCUCUUCUGAAAGAGCACUCUCCUGUGAUUUAUUUAGAAACUCCUGCUGCUCCCUGUUCUUGUGAAUCUUACAAGGGAAAACUACAGCAAUUUAAUACCUUUCCAAACUAUCCUUUGUUGAAUGUAUUGCCUGACAGUGGUUUUGAAGCAAGAAUAAAAGGAUGUGAUCUACAAACUGGUUUGAGACUACUUCCAUUCCAAAGCACCAUGCUAAAACAGAUAAGCAUCCUCUUUUAAUUUUUACUGAAACAGGGAAGCUGGAAGGUCUGACAAGUGCAGUCUGAACUGGGAUCCCACAUCCUAAAUUGAUAUUGUGAUGAAUUUACAGCCAGUGGUACCAUCAGACCACAAAGUUAGUAGCCUAAGCUGCAGUUUUCAAACCAUCACAAGGCCUUUUCUGCAGAAGAAAA